ACGAACGCUGGCGGCGUGCUUAACACAUGCAAGUCGAACGAUGAAGCCAGCUUGCUGGUGGAUUAGUGGCGAACGGGUGAGUAACACGUGAGUAACCUGCCCUUGACUCUGGGAUAAGCGUUGGAAACGACGUCUAAUACCGGAUAUGACCUUCAGCCGCAUGGUUUGUUGGUGGAAAGAAUUUUGGUCAAGGAUGGACUCGCGGCCUAUCAGGUUGUUGGUGAGGUAAUGGCUCACCAAGCCUACGACGGGUAGCCG
rnacentral:rRNA from 1 species